GAGGAAAGAGUGGGAGAGAGUGAUAGUACGGUCGCGGAGGAGACUGGAGGAGGAGAGAGGCAUAGGAGAGUGUUGCCAUUGGGUCAGGGUUGGAAAUGGAGGGGAUCGCCGGGGGAGGGUGGUGUGGAAGGCAUUAGUUGUGAGCAAGGGAAGGAGAGGAACGUAAUGUGGAAGGGGGUUGGGAGAGCAGAUUGUGAGGGGAAAAAGAAUAGGAAGAUUUAGAUUCAAGUUUUAUUGUGACGUGUGCUCAAGUACAGGGUUACAAGAGUGCAGUGAAAGGUGUAUAGCGUGGCCACAUACGGGGCCAUCUAAGGCACAAAGUCUUAAUUGGAGAAAUAGAGAAAGAAAGAAAGAAGUUUUAAAAAAAGUUUAGCACCACAGUCUUCUUAGCAUAAAAAGUAGAAAAAGAAAGUUGCAAUAUCAAACACUACAGUCCUUUCUUGAGCCACGGGCCUGCAGAUACUUCAACUUGGGCUUCCCCAAGAGGGCUGGCUCUCCCCCACACUGGGCUAAGACUCACCUGGCACUCCAAGCCUAGCUGAUGCCUCAUUGCUGACAACCAUCACUCACAGGCGACCACCGCUGCUGCAAUCCUUUGCUGCUGCCCUCUCAUCGCUGACUGUCACUGUCACCAUCCUUCGUUGCCAAUUGCUGCUAGCUGCUGCAGCCAUAAGGGCCAACACUGAAUCCCAGAUGCUGCCUCAUGGCUCCAGUUUUAUGAAUGCUCAAGGUCCGCACUCAAGAUCUGCUGCUGACACCAUCUGCACUCAGAAUAGAAUGCAGAGGAUGUGGGCUGUGGAAUUAUUAGGGAUAAAGAAAGGGAGUUCGGAAUUUUGUAGGGGAGAAGGAUUGGGAGGAAGAAAGAAUGCGGGGCAGAGCAAAUAUUGAAUAUUUCUUCUUUAAACAGAAGUUUUAUUUCAGAGUACCAGCAUGUGUGACAUUCUGGGCAAUAAGCUGAUUUACAUAAGACCGACAAACUGAACUGGAUGUGAUUGUGCAAAGAUGUUACUUUAAUGAACCAUGGCAAAAACCGAAAGCUUUAACAUGAUGUCAAAAGCAAGAUAUUGAUAUGAACAGAAAAUGAUCAAAACACUCAGGACAGGCAGCAUUCUGUCUUGCAAUGAUUUGCUGUCACUUUGGAAGGACUCCCUGACCCUACAGUGAAACGAUUUGGUGUCCCGCCGGAAAGACUCCACUGAGCGCAGUCUGACAACCACUGACCGAUUAAUCUCCAACGCUAUCAUGUAGCGCCACCUGCCGCCUGUGGAAAAACAUCACAGGCAGGAAGGUCCCCGGGUUCCUGCAGUUGACAGCUCAUUCUAUCCCGUAGGUCCCUGUCUACAAUUGAGCUUCUGUUUGUUUCUUCUCUUCCUGUCCUGUAUCCCCAGACCUAUGGAGAUCCUUGCUGAGCUUUCAUUUCUGUGCAGCAAAGAUCGUGAGUGCAGAUGGCUGUGUUUGGAAUAUCUAUUGGCUGAAGGAGAAGCUGCAGCAGGAGGGGACUACAAUGCCAUAGGUAGAACUAAGAAAAACGGCCUACAUGUCCAGUCUGACGAGCUAGAAAGCCAAACCUCGAAGGUAAUGAUCUCUGAUUAUUACCUGAACGACUUGCAAUUUGGCAUUUGGUACACAAGGUUGGAGAGAUGAAUGA